GGAUAAGCUAACUGUAAGUUGCUCUGGAUAAGAGUGUCUGCUAAAUGACUCAAA
rfam:Salmo salar isolate Sally breed double haploid chromosome ssa22, whole genome shotgun sequence.